rnacentral:rRNA from 1 species
CAUAUCCUGAGAGGUGAUGCGUAGCCGUAGCGGCGAAAUCCAUGAUCCUAUGCUGCCGAGAAAAGCCUCUAGCGAGCUGGUACAUGGCCCGUACCCCAAACCGACUCAGGUGGUCAGGUAGAGAAUACUAAGGCGAUCGAGAGAACUGUGGUUAAGGAACUCGGCAAAAUGCCCCCGUAACUUCGGGAGAAGGGGGACCAGUCCUGGUGACGACAUUUACUGUCUGAGCUGGGGUUGGUCGCAGAGACCAGAGAGAAGCGACUGUUUACUAAAAACACAGGUCCGUGCGAAGUCGUAAGACGAUGUAUACGGACUGACGCCUGCCCGGUGCUGGAAGGUUAAGAGGACCGGUCAGCCACUUCGGUGGCGAAGCUGAGAAUUUAAGCCCCAGUAAACGGCGGUGGUAACUAUAACCAUCCUAAGGUAGCGAAAUUCCUUGUCGGGUAAGUUCCGACCUGCACGAAUGGCGUAACGACUUCUCUGCUGUCUCAACCACAGACUCGGCGAAAUUGCAGUACGAGUAAAGAUGCUCGUUACGCGCGGCAGGACGAAAAGACCCCGGGACCUUCACUAUAGCUUGGUAUUGGUGUUCGGUUCGGUUUGUGUAGGUUAGGUGGGAGACUGUGAAACUCGCACGCCAGUGUGGGUGGAGUCAUUGUUGAAAUACCACUCUGACCGUAUUGGACAUCUAACCUCGGACCAUGAUCUGGUUCAGGGACAGUGCCUGGUGGGUAGUUUAACUGGGGCGGUUGCCUCCUAAAAAGUAACGGAGGCGCCCAAAGGUUCCCUCAGCCUGGUUGGCAAUCAGGUGUUGAGUGUAAGUGCACAAGGGAGCUUGACUGUGAGACGUACAUGUCGAGCAGGGACGAAAGUCGGGACUAGUGAUCCGGCACCGGCAAGUGGAAGCGGUGUCGCUCAACGGAUAAAAGGUACCCCGGGGAUAACAGGCUGAUCUUCCCCAAGAGUCCAUAUCGACGGGAUGGUUUGGCACCUCGAUGUCGGCUCGUCGCAUCCUGGGGCUGGAGUAGGUCCCAAGGGUUGGGCUGUUCGCCCAUUAAAGCGGCACGCGAGCUGGGUUUAGAACGUCGUGAGACAGUUCGGUCUCUAUCCGCCGCGCGCGUAAGAAACUUGAGGAAACCUGUCCCUAGUACGAGAGGACCGGGACGGACGAACCUCUGGUGUGCCAGUUGUUCCACCAGGAGCACCGCUGGUUAGCUACGUUCGGAAGGGAUAACCGCUGAAAGCAUCUAAGCGGGAAGCCUGUUCCAAGAUGAGGUUUCUCACCACCUAGCGUGGUUAAGGCCCCCCACAGACCAUGGGGUUGAUAGGCCAGAACUGUAAGCACAGCAAUGUGUUCAGGUGACUGGUACUAAUCGGCCGAGGACAAC